rnacentral:rRNA from 1 species
UGGGCAACCUGCCCUCAGCAUGGGGAUAACCCCGGGAAACCGGGGCUAAUACCCGAUACGACCUCGGUAGGCAUCUACUGAGGUGGAAAGCGUUAGUGGCUGAGGAUGGGCCCGCGGCCUAUCAGCUUGUUGGUGGGGUAAUGGCCUACCAAGGCGACGAUGGGUAGCCGGCCUGAGAGGGCGACCGGCCACACUGGGACUGAGACACGGCCCAGACUCCUACGGGAGGCA